rnacentral:rRNA from 1 species
UACGUAGGGUGCAAGCGUUGUCCGGAAUUAUUGGGCGUAAAGAGCUCGUAGGCGGUUUGUUGCGUCGGCUGUGAAAUCCCGAGGCUCAACCUCGGGUCUGCAGUCGAUACGAGCAAACUAGAGUGUUGCAGGGGAGACUGGAAUUCCUGGUGUAGCGGUGAAAUGCGUAGAUAUCAGGAGGAACACCGGUGGUGUAGACGGCUUUCUGGACCGUAACUGACGCUGGAGACACGGAAAGCGUGGGGAGCGAACAGG